GAUCAGUCGGCAGAUGCUAUUUCUGCAAUAAAAAAAAAACAGGGCACUGUCAAUGGAUGUUGAAACAGUCUGACAACGAAGCAUAGCAAGCAAGAGGCUGUAAGCCGCAUGAUGCUCUAAGCUAAGGCAGCCUUCUUAUAUACCACAUCCACACCACAAGGGGGUGGUGCAAGAACAAGAUACACCUUCCUUCGGUUAACUAGCUACCUAAUUACCAGCUGCCAGCCAUCUUGUGUCAGCACACUGCAGUGUUCGUUUCUGUCGGGAAGAGAGAGAAGAGGCAGCGACGAUGGAUGAGCCUCCGCCACAGAGCGACGACGACCGGAAGCUGUCGGCCAUGGAGCACGUCAAGAAACGCCACGAGGAGAAGGGAUUCCUCUAUGCCUGCGCCUUCAUGUUCUGCUGCUGCUUCUGCUGCUACGAGGCCUGCGAGCACUGCCUGGAGUGCUUCUGCUGCUGCGGCAAGAAGGACGAGUGAUUAAGGCCGGUCCAACCAGUUCCGCCCGCCCACCAAUGAUGAAUGAUCGGUUUGUAAUUCGUCGUGGAUUUGAUUUGUUUCGGUUGUGAUUUGUGAAGAACUGCGAUCAAUCUGGAACUGUUCGUCGUGAUAGAACAUGCAUGUUGAUGCUGUAAAUAAAUGCGAUUGGUUUGGAGCGUUAACUCUACGUUAACCGUACGUACUCGUAGUGAGCUAGCUUAGGUACCCCAGUACGUAUCUGUGACUCGUGAGCGAGUUCAGUGAGACGCUGUGCUUGUAACUGUAAAUCUGUGAAUUGUGAUUGCAUGCCAACGCACUGGUACUACAUGUAUUACAGCCCUUAAUUGUGUAUAUAUAAGUUUCUUGUGAAUUGUGAGAUUUGCUCU